rnacentral:rRNA from 1 species
GAUGAACGCUGGCGGCGUGCCUAAUACAUGCAAGUCGAGCGAACAGACGAGGAGCUUGCUCCUCUGACGUUAGCGGCGGACGGGUGAGUAACACGUGGAUAACCUACCUAUAAGACUGGGAUAACUUCGGGAAACCGGAGCUAAUACCGGAUAAUAUAUUGAGCCGCAUGGUUCAAUAGUGAAAGACGGUUUUGCUGUCACUUAUAGAUGGAUCCGCGCCGCAUUAGCUAGUUGGUAAGGUAAUGGCUUACCAAGGCAACGAUGCGUAGCCGACCUGAGAGGGUGAUCGGCCACACUGGAACUGAGACACGGUCCAGACUCCUACGGGAGGCAGCAGUAGGGAAUCUUCCGCAAUGGGCGAAAGCCUGACGGAGCAACGCCGCGUGAGUGAUGAAGGUCUUCGGAUCGUAAAACUCUGUUAUUAGGGAAGAACAAAUGUGUAAGUAACUAUGCACGUCUUGACGGUACCUAAUCAGAAAGCCACGGCUAACUACGUG